CGAAUCGUCGGUCCCUUCACCCCGCGUUCUCUCCCAUGUUGGUUUUCCGCGUGAAAAAAAAUUGUAAGUGAGUCAACGCGAUCUCGCUCCCGAACGAACCCACACCAAUCGGCUCCCCUGGCUCUAACCAUCCCAAUCUGGUCGACACCACAAUCUCACCACCAAAUCCGGCGUCGCCCACUUCCUCUUCCAAUCUUGUGAGUUGCAGUCCGCCACCACCGAUGCCGCCCGGUUCCCGUCCGAAACCUGCCACUUGCGACGGACCGAGGCCGCCGAAGCCGGCGACCAAAGGAUUCGAAGCAGCCGCCCAGAGCUACUUCGCCCUCGACGUUGAGGAUGGCGUGGGCCUGAGCUCCUGGCCUUCCCGGGUCCGCCGCCGCUGGGCUCGUUACUAUUGCUGACGUGUGCUGAAUAUAACUUGGAUUCCAUGGAUGAUGAUGAGAUUCUGGCGGUAGUGUUUAACCUUUCAAGAAUCACCUGAACCUGAGCGAUGAUGAUAUUCUUCCAAGUUGAUGCGCCUUCUCAUGGACACCAACCCUGCAAUUUUGUAUUGGGGAAAUACACUGUUUGCUUGAUUGACAGGCCCAAGAGGCUUCUGGCGGAAAUGACUUCAGGCCUCCUCGCUGGGUCUUUCAGGCCCAAGAGGCGGCACUACACAUCGUGGCCCAGUUACUGCCACGCGGCGCCAUACCCUAGCAAGCUCUCUAUAUAACAGGGUGCAGCCCCCCUAUUCGGCGCAGCAGAACUCUCCUCCUCCCAUCCGCCGCCGCAUCUGAUGUCGCCGCCGCCGCCGCAUCUGAUGUCGCCGCCGCAGCAAUACUGCCGCCGUCUAUCUUUUUGAUGAUUGUUUUUGCGGAUCAUGCCUUCAGUUUGAUGGUUUUCUUCUUCUUUUCCUGCUGUCUCUCUCUGAUAUUGCUUUUGGUUUGAUCUGAUGAUGAUUCCCCACCUGGAAAGAAGCUUCUCCGCGUGAUCCAGAUUCAUUCGGUUGGUCACGGGGGGAACGCUGCAGCCUUGGAGCUCUUUCCUGAGAGCAAGUGCGCAGGAUAUAAUGCUGGCCGGCCGAUCUAGAUGGCUCUCCAGUUUGGCUUUUCUGUGCCAUUUUCUUCCGUGUUAUGCAUCCCAUGCUUUAUGAUCUCAGAUCUCAUAGUAUAUGACUAGCUUAGCCCGCGCGGCGACACGCCGCGCCAAUCGGUAAGUCGCGACUAUGUAUGUUAUGGUCUAAACAGUAGAACAAUGAAUAGUUAUAAAUUAAGAAGUAUGUACGAUAAUUUUAUGUGUAUCUUUCUCUAUCAAUUAAAGAGAAGGACAACAA